rnacentral:rRNA from 1 species
UAAGGAAUAUUGGACAAUGGAGGCAACUCUGAUCCAGCCAUGCCGCGUGAAGGAAUAAGGCCCUAUGGGUUGUAAACUUCUUUUAGACGGGACAAAACACCUUUACGUGUAAAGGGUUGAUGGUAAUGUCAGAAUAAGCAUCGGCUAACUUCGUGCCAGCAGCCGCGGUAAUACGAAGGAUGCAAGCGUUAUCCGGAAUUAUUGGGAUUAAAGGGUGCGUAGGCGGACUAAUAAGUCAGUGGUGAAAGCCUGCAGCUUAACUGUAGAAUUGCCAUUGAUACUGUUAGUCUUGAGUACGGUUGAGGUAGGCGGAAUUUGUCAUGUAGCGGUGAAAUGCUUAGAUAUGACACAGAACACCGAUUGCGAAGGCAGCUUGCUAAGCUGGAACUGACGCUGAGGCACGAAAGCGUGGGGAGCAAACA